CGUCAAACCCUCGUGAGCCUCUGGUACAGGCUGCAGGCGGUCUAUUAUCGUCGAUACUGCUUUGCUAGGUGUUGGAAGCACGUGAUUCCUUGUCGAUUCCCGUGGUGUCGCGAUUCCUGAUGAAAGCGUUAAAUGGUACAUCUUGAAGUGGCGAGAUUUUUUAUCUCAAAUUUGACAGUCAGUGUUCCACUAACCGUUGUAUUGAACGGACGUGUUCUCGUGUCGCUCUGAUUGAGUACAGUACAGUGUAUAUGUCGCAGGGAAAUGAUAAAAAUAAAGAUUUGAUCAAAUCCCUAAGGUAAAUGAUCAAUUUACGGAAGAUGUUAAAAUAACAAUUCUGUGAGAUCAUUUCCCUAAAGAAAGUAAGUGAUUUGAUCAAAUCUCUUAACUGUUUUAGUGAAAAGAUGAAAUAAUAUGAUUUGAUCAAAUCCCUUGACUGUUUUAGUGAAAAGAUGGAAUAAUAUUGUUUAGAUAUUAGAAGUAUUAAUUUAGUAAAUCAUGCGUUAUUAAGUGUAGAGUAGGUAAUACAACAAUAGUCGUAGGCACAUAAAUUAUUUAUUCGAAACUAAUUAGUAAAAGAAAUAGGUACUUAAACUGAUAUUGUAAAACACAAAAAGGAUAUUUUUAGUGAAAUUUUAAAUAUUUUUAGUGAAUGUUGUGACAUGAAAGUAAAACUCCUUAACAUUCGAAAAGCGCGGUCACUCAACUAUCGACAAGAUCGGUGCGGUAGGCAUGGUAAUUGCCAAAAUACCCGCAAGGAGAACCGGCGUCGAGCACGUGCGAUCGCGUUCGAUCCUAGAACUCUGUUCCGAGAUUUGAUACAGAAAAGUCGUACCGAGCUGAGCAAGCGUCACCUUACAUUCUUAUAUUUUACCGUUGUAUUUUGUAUUAUAUUAAUUUAGUUUUAUUUUAAGAAGUGUUUCGACAAGUAGUCGAUUAGCGAAGAUUAUACUUACUGUACGAGCCGUUAUAGAUAGCCGUAAUCCAUCGACAAAUACUUACCAGAUUUAAAGGUCUCGAGUGACUCACUGGAUGUAAAUGACGUCUACGAAGGGGGUCCAGCCUGGACAUGUGCAAUGUGUGUCAAAAUUCUGUGUCAUGGUUACGCACGGCUGGCUGUAUUUGAUGAAUCUCGCGGCGAAGUAGGCUGACAAUGAGCCAAGCUGCGUGCCUUCCUACACGAUUAUCAUCUUUCGGUUUGACGACAGGAAGGCAGAAUCGUUCCGUUUUAGUGGCGAACGUGUAACAGUCGAUGAAAAGGAUGGAUUCGCAGGUGGACUCGCUUAUUACUCGCGCGAACGGUGGCGCAAUCGAUGUUCGCAGUGAGGACUCUCUAUUUCGUCGGGUUGGCGCGCCUUCUGGCAUGCUAAUCCGUCGUUUCUAAUCCUCGGAGGCAUGUCAACACUCGUAAAAAUGGAUCUGAGCUCGCACGUCUAGCUCGUUCCGAUUUUCACUUUCCAUUCUUGAUACGGGAAACGCGUACGGGGACGACGAUCAGCGGAUGACCGGUUUUAUUUCGCGAUCCAUCGACGGCAUAAUGACGUCGUACUUAUUACGACGGUACGGUACCUCGACGGCAUAGUACCGUCGUCGUCUGAUGACACUGGUUUUAUCCAGAGCUGUAAAGUAAUGAUUAUUUUGGAAUUUAUUACAAUUUGGAACAAUUACUUUGGAAUUAGAAAGUAAUUAUUUAAGUCAUUGUUGAUUACUUUUUUUUGUAAUUAUGCAAUACCUUAUUCUUAAUUACUGAGUAAUUCAAUUACUUUUUAAUAAUUACUUAUAACUGCCCAGAUAGUAAUUAAAAAGUAAUUAUAACUACUUUUUUAAAUUACUUUCAAGUAAUUGCAGUUACAUGAACAGUAAUUGUUAAAAGUAAUGAUUACUGACUUCUAAUUACUUUUAAUUACUUUUAGGUAUACUUAACUACUUUAGAUUUGAGAAAAAGUAAUUCAAAGUAAUUACAAAUAAUUGGAAGACAGUAAUCAUUACUUGUAACAAUUACUGUCCAUGUCACUGCAAUUACUUUUAGGUAUUUUUGACUACUUUAGAUUUGAGACGCCUUUUAAUACUUUCUGGGCCGUUAUAAGUAAUUAUUAAGUAAUGCAUGGGAUUACUGGUAGUAAUUAAGUAAUUGGAAAAUACCAUUACAUGCGACAGACUAAUUGUAAUGGCAAUUAUUCAAUUACUUGGUCAAGUAAUUGUAUUGUAAUUGUAAUUAAGAAUUUACAGCUCUGGUUUCAUCGGUAUGGAGAAGCAUCUAUGGUUCUAACAGGUACGAUAACACGACGCCGUACAAUGGAUUCGAGUACCAAAAAUUGGCCAAAAUUAGUAAAAGUUUUCGCAUUUGCACGAAAUUUAUUAUUUAUCUAGACAGCCAGGUACACGAAAAAUUAUAUCGCCACCCCGUAUAUAGCGUGGCGCUACCGCGUAUCUUUUACUCGAGAAACUACGAUUCCAACCUAACCUGAAACUUCUUUCAUUAAUAUCUCAUCACGCCUGCAAUAUUUUCUAAAAUUAAAGGCAUUUUUCUAAUGUAAAUCACAUAUAAGCUUUCGAAUAAACCCAAAAUCAAUCAAAUCGAUCCACGUACAACAGCGAUAUCGUAAUAUCAUGUCACGAUUCAUCUAAAAACUGAAUUUCUGGAUAUAUAUAAUAGCUGGAUGCAGGUUAUUAAGACAGAAAAAAAAAAUUUCACCAGAUACUGCAAGAAAUAAUGCACAAGAGACAGUAAUGUUGCCUUGUAAUACGUGUGUGCACGCAUUAAAAACCAUCAUAGUUAUUUUAACAGUGCAACAUAUUUUUUACCUAUUACAACAAGAAGAGGAUCAUAUAACAUCAUCGAUAAAAGAUCUUUGAUUGAUUUAAGCAGUUACAGUCAUUCCAAUAAGAGGAAACGAAGGGAUGAAUUGCUUCUUUCGCGAAGUAAAUAAUUUGCUGACGAAGCAACAGUAUUUUGGUGCUCUCCAAAAAUAGGAGGUGCCGCUGUGAAAUUCUAGUAUUUUAUCUGACUGAUAUGAGUUACUUGAACUGGAAAUUACGAAUUUGAUAUCAGAAUUGCAAAAUUAAAUAUGCCGGAUCUAAUAAUGUGACAUGUAAUACUAUUAAAUAUUAUUUUAUAAAUGCAUUAUUUACCAUCGGAGUAUGCUGGCGGCAAUAGUUUCAAGAAGGGCGCACCCCGUGAACCCCAAACAGGAUGUCUCACGUUGUUGCAGACACCAGAAGGCGUUCUGUACUUGCUCGGUGGACAGGGUCUGUCCGGUUUGACUCUGCA